rnacentral:lncRNA from 1 species
UUUAACAGUCAACGAUAUCCGAGGUAAGUCUAUUAGCAAUUUAUUGUUAUUAACUCAACAUAUAUAUAUAUAUAUGUGUGUGUGUAUAUUUAUUAUAUAAUUGAUGAGCUAUAAUUAAAAGUAUAUAAAUUGAAUUUAGUUAAUAUAAGCAUUUAUAUAUGUAAAUAAGAAGUUCGAAUAAGUAUGUAUAUAUAAGUAUAAGUUUUUUGGAGUUAAGUGAAAGUAUGGAUGUUAUAUUUGUAUUUAUAAUGUUCGAAUAUAUAUAUGUAUAUAUAUAUAAAUAAGUUUUUGAAUUUAGUUGAAUUGUGAAUGUUAUAAAAAUAUUCAUACGGUUCGAAUAAGCAUGUAUAUACAUUUUUAUAUUGAAUUUAAGUAUGAAAUUAUAUAUGUAUAUGUUAGAUUCGAAUAUGUAUAUAUGUACAUGUAUAAGUUAUUGUAUUGAAAUUAGAUAUGAAGUUAUAUAUAUAUGAGUAUGAGGUUCGAUUGUGUAUGAAUAUAUAUAUAAGUUCAUGAGUUGAAUUAUAAGUAUAAAUUAUAUAUAAAUGUAUAUGAGGUGCAAAUAUGUAUGUAUACACAUGUAUAAUUUUUGUAUUGAAUCAAAGGUAUGAAAUUAUUAGCUUAGAUUAUUUAUAAUAUGUUUGAAUGUAUGAUAUGUUUUCUUUGAAGUGAAUUUAAUGCCAUAAAAUGUGUAUGUAUUUAAGUAAUUCGAAUGUUAAAUGUAUAUUACUUAGGGUAUAUUAUAAAUUUAAUAGUAUGAUAUUAGUAGUAGGAUUCAAGAUAUAAAGUUAUAUACAUAAAUUUGUUAGGUUGAAUCAUGAAGUUAUUGAGCUAGAUUUGGUGUUUGAAUUUCAUGAACCUAUGUGGUUCAAAGAUAUAGGUUAUAAAUUUUGAGCUGAAUUUUUAUGUAUGGAUUUAUAUACAUAUAUAGUUCGAAUAUGAAUUACAGCUUCUUUGAACUGAAAUUAUUGUUGUGAAUUGUACAAGUAUGUUUUAAGUGCAUGAUUGUUACGUAGAAUUGAAUAUAAUUCAAUUCCAACGGAGAAACGACUAUCGGAUUUAUUGCCAGUGAAAUUAUUCAGACUAUACGUCUAGCAGGCUAAGUGCCGGUGAACUGAAUCAGGCUAUAGGCCUAGCAGGCUAAGUGCCGGUGAACUGAAUCAGGCUAUAGGCCUAGCAGGCUAAGUGCCGGUGAACGGAAUUAAACUAUAAGCCUAUCAGGUGAAGUGCCAGUGAAUCUGUUUAAAUUAAGUGAUUCUAUGCAUUGGGCAUAAAUAUAUAUGAUUUUGUUUAUAUGAAAUGGAUAAAUUUAUGAACAUUGUUUCAAGGUGGUUGAUGAGUAUAUAAUCGUUCGAAUCCUUGUGAAUAGUGAGUAUGUAUAUAUAUAUCGGUUGUCAUGAAAUUGUUGGAUAUAUAUAUGUAUAUAUAUGUAUGCAUUCGGCAUAGGUGGGUAUAAGUGUAUAUGUGCAUUCGGCACUUAUAGUUGAUAAGUAUAAAAAUUAUGCUUUUGGUAUAUGUAUUUGAACAAUUAUAUUUAAAUGGAUCCGAUGAAGUGCGAACAAUAAGUACUAUAGAAAUCAGUACAUGCAGUUAAUGAUUAUGUUAGUAAAUUGAUUAUAUGCAUAUAAUGUAUAUACAUUUGUCCGUUUAUGUGUAUUAGAUAAAUACACAUCCUUUUAGAUUUAAACAAAAUGACUUAAUAUAGCAAUGUUUGAUUAGUAAUUAUAAUUGAUAAUUGUGAUUUCAAUAAAUUUACUUAAAGAAUUAUAUGAUUCUUUUAUAUGUAUUUUAGAUAUGCUAUAGACUUACUAAGCUAUAAAAGCUUACUUUGAUUGUUUUUGUCCAUUUGUUUUUAUAGAUUUUGGAGACGCGUUACGAGCUCGGGGAUCAUCAGCAUAGUCUAUCACACUAUCGACUACUUUUGGUAUUUUGUUAAAUAUUUGAACUCAAUCUUAUGGCAUGUAUAGGUUUGAGUACGAUGUUAGUUAGAUUUUGAUUGUAAAUUAUAAAUAGCAAUGCGAAAAUGAUUUAAUUUUCAUGUUUGUGAUCA